AGUUGGGGGUUGCCUUAGCCUAUGGAACUGCUCAAUCAGUCAGCACUUUAAUGCUGCACAUCUCUGGCUUUGAAUAUUCUAUUCUGUAACAGAGUUCUGGAAGUGGAUAAAGGGUGGCACAGCAAGGAUGUUCACAACGUUGGUUCAGUAACCACUUAUGGGAAAAUGUUUCCCAAGGGAGAGACAAAAUUGGACUUGCAACUCUGUAGCUUCAACUUCUUUGAGACCUGAGAGGCUCACAACACAGUGCUGUUAGUCACAUUUCCAGUGAUUGCUGCAGUGGGUGGGAUCCCUGUGUGUCUGGUUACUCCUGGCAGGAUGGUUUAUCUGAAGGGGAAAGGCCUCACCCAUUAGCUUCUAGUCCACUGGCUGUCUGCUGAAUGUUUUACAUCCCCAGGUGCUUUAGUAAUCUUCUUCCCUUAAUACCAAGACAUUUUGCUGAUUAUCAAUAUGUUCCUUGGACUAGUGAGGCUUUACUGGCUGUUGUUCAAAAACAAUUAUUUAGACACCAUACACAAAUGGUGGUCAAGGAGGGAUGCCUGAAGAUCCCUCUCCUUCACACCUUACCAGAAGAAUAUUCUUUUUUCUGGGCUAUGUGGUCUUGGUCCUCCAUCUCUUCUGUGUCAUGAACCUAACAUUCCUCAUUGGCUAACCACUGGUCUCAUGUCAAGAUGAGCCAAGACGUCUUUCCUUCCCUCCAGCCAGUGUGGGUGCUUUGACAGAAUGUGCUGGACUGAUCUCAGACUGAAGGUGACAUUUCUGUGUCUGCCUUGUCUUUGGUGAAUGUCACAGUGCCCUUGGAUGAGGCAUUGAAUCUGAGCAUGACAACAUGAGAGGUAAAGCAAGGAACAAUCCUCCUUUGUUCCCAUGUACCAGUGGGAUUCAAAAUCCAACUGGAGGAGGCAGGAGGUGCAUUUUCUUAGUGUUUUGUGUUGGCCACUUCAGGUGUUAAUUACAAUUACCCAGCAAUUAUGACACCUCAUAUUGGAGGCCACCCAAUUGAGAAAUGUUCUCACUGCAUCAACAAGGACAGCUGUGAGAAGUCAAGUGUGUUGGAGUCAGACUUAUCUCACCAUCUUCAGGUGUCCAAAUUCAGCACCAUCAACUUGACUCUGAGACUCUCUGUAUUUUGAAAUUCGGGAUGGAAUGAGCCAUCAUGGUUCCUGUGGAAACAUGAGGGACCAACAGAAUAUAACCUGUGACACAGAAGGCUGCUGCCCUGAGGAUGGUUCCCUGCAAGCAGAUGGCAGGCAGAAAAUAUGCCAGAAAUGCUCUGCCUCAGAAGGUUCCCUUUCAGGCAUUGCUGGCUGGUGUGGGCGCCAGCUACAGAGGAGUUCUUCAAGGCUAAGGCAGCAUGGAAAACCUGCAAGGGAAAAACAUGAAACCAAACAAGGGAAGAAGACCCAAGCAAUUAAUAUUCUCCAGUGAGGGUUUUAUUUCAGCCCGUCGCUCCCCCCCUCUGCUUAGCACUGUAGAUACACACCUCGUGGGAGAGCAGCUCUGCCCAGGGAGGUGUAGCAUCCACACAGGCAGGAGAAGGGCUGGGAGGCAGCACGUCCCCAGCUGAGUUUUACAGACUCAGAGCAGAUUUCAGCAGCUGACGUCAUGACUGGUGUGAGGUUGGUGGGGACGUCAGCAGCAGAGGCAGCAAUUAAACCCCUGCACUCUGGCCAGAGGCACAGUCGUGUCCUGCUUCAUCCGAAGCAGGGCUGGUCUGACACAGCAGAAGCCUUUAUGUAACCAGGCCAGAUUUUCACUUUUGGAGCAACAGUUUCAGAAGAACUACAGAAACCACAGACAGGAUUUGUUGCUACUUAUGAGCAGGGGGUGAGCUCUCUUCUCUGCCUCCUGUCUCGCACCUCACUGGGUGACAAGUAUGUCAGGGAGUGAGAGCUGGUCUUGCAGCUGACUACAGGCUUCUGUUUUUAUUCCCAUUUCCUCUGUGCUUUCUGUUGGGAUAGCAGAGGUUUGCACUGGCAUGUGAGACAUUUUCUUAUUGCUCUCUACAACCGCAGUCGCAUUUCAGAAGCGUUUUGGCACAUUGCCCUGCUGGCAGCCCACAGUCGCAGUAGCAGAUUCUCAGGCUGAAAUGUUUUUGUUGCAAUGCAUUUAGCCCAUCUCUAUUAUUGCUCAAGCUUUUCUCUUCUCCCUCAUCUGCUCUGGCCGUAUCAGGAAGUAUGAACCUUUUUCAGGGAAUCUUUAAUAUUUUUCAGCAUUUGGAGUGAACCUGAAUAAACACUUGUUAGGUAAAAAAGCUUAAUUGGAAAGACUUAGUGUGUUUCUUGGCUUGUUGUUCUGGCUGACACCAUCUCUUGCAGACACAGUAUUACGACAG